UUUGAUAGAGGUGCAGAGAACAUCAGUAAAAAUACUUAGUCUGGCAAACUGUGAGGUAUUUUGAAAGGGAACUUUGCCGAAAUGAAGGUAUCAAGCCCUGAUAUUUUUGUUGGCAGUAUGGAAAAUAUUUAUACUGUUGUCAUUGAUUUUUAUCAAUGGAGUGCUGUCUGG
rnacentral:ncRNA from 1 species